rnacentral:tRNA from 1 species
AUUUAUAUAGUUUAAGUAAAACAUUACAUUUUCACUGUAAAAACAAAGAGCACUUUUAUAAAUA